GCAGGUCAAGUGGGCUAGGGCACCACACUGGCAGUGUGGGGGUCAGGGUUCGAGUCCCCUUAGCUCCA
rnacentral:tRNA from 1 species